rnacentral:rRNA from 1 species
AUGAACGCUAGCUACAGGCUUAACACAUGCAAGUCGAGGGGCAGCAUGGUCUUAGCUUGCUAAGGCCGAUGGCGACCGGCGCACGGGUGAGUAACACGUAUCCAACCUGCCGUCUACUCUUGGACAGCCUUCUGAAAGGAAGAUUAAUACAAGAUGGCAUCAUGAGUCCGCAUGUUCACAUGAUUAAAGGUAUUCCGGUAGACGAUGGGGAUGCGUUCCAUUAGAUAGUAGGCGGGGUAACGGCCCACCUAGUCUUCGAUGGAUAGGGGUUCUGAGAGGAAGGUCCCCCACAUUGGAACUGAGACACGGUCCAAACUCCUACGGGAGGCAGCAGUGAGGAAUAUUGGUCAAUGGGCGAGAGCCUGAACCAGCCAAGUAGCGUGAAGGAUGACUGCCCUAUGGGUUGUAAACUUCUUUUAUAAAGGAAUAAAGUCGGGUAUGGAUACCCGUUUGCAUGUACUUUAUGAAUAAGGAUCGGCUAACUCCGUGCCAGCAGCCGCGGUAAUACGGAGGAUCCGAGCGUUAUCCGGAUUUAUUGGGUUUAAAGGGAGCGUAGAUGGAUGUUUAAGUCAGUUGUGAAAGUUUGCGGCUCAACCGUAAAAUUGCAGUUGAUACUGGAUAUCUUGAGUGCAGUUGAGGCAGGCGGAAUUCGUGGUGUAGCGGUGAAAUGCUUAGAUAUCACGAAGAACUCCGAUUGCGAAGGCAGCCUGCUAAGCUGCAACUGACAUUGAGGCUCGAAAGUGUGGGUAUCAAACAGGAUUAGAUACCCUGGUAGUCCACACGGUAAACGAUGAAUACUCGCUGUUUGCGAUAUACGGCAAGCGGCCAAGCGAAAGCGUUAAGUAUUCCACCUGGGGAGUACGCCGGCAACGGUGAAACUCAAAGGAAUUGACGGGGGCCCGCACAAGCGGAGGAACAUGUGGUUUAAUUCGAUGAUACGCGAGGAACCUUACCCGGGCUUAAAUUGCAGAUGAAUUACGGUGAAAGCCGUAAGCCGCAAGGCAUCUGUGAAGGUGCUGCAUGGUUGUCGUCAGCUCGUGCCGUGAGGUGUCGGCUUAAGUGCCAUAACGAGCGCUACCCUUGUUGUCAGUUACUAACAGGUUCUGCUGAGGACUCUGACAAGACUGCCAUCGUAAGAUGUGAGGAAGGUGGGGAUGACGUCAAAUCAGCACGGCCCUUACGUCCGGGGCUACACACGUGUUACAAUGGGGGGUACAGAGGGCCGCUACCACGCGAGUGGAUGCCAAUCCCCAAAACCUCUCUCAGUUCGGACUGGAGUCUGCAACCCGACUCCACGAAGCUGGAUUCGCUAGUAAUCGCGCAUCAGCCACGGCGCGGUGAAUACGUUCCCGGGCCUUGUACACACCGCCCGUCAAGCCAUGGGAGCCGGGGGUACCUGAAGUGCGUAACCGCGAGGAGCGCCCUAGGGUAAAACUGGUGACUGGGGCU